CCUACGGGGGGCUGCAGUCGAGAAUCAUUCACAAUGGGGGAAACCCUGAUGGUGCGACGCCGCGUGGGGGAAUGAAGGUCUUCGGAUUGUAAACCCCUGUCAUGUGGGAGCAAAUUAAAAAGAUAGUACCACAAGAGGAAGAGACGGCUAACUCUGUGCCAGCAGCCGCGGUAAUACAGAGGUCUCAAGCGUUGUUCGGAAUCACUGGGCGUAAAGGGUGCGUAGGGUGUUUCGUACUUCGUGUGUGAAAGGCGCGGGCACAACCCGCGGACGGCACAUGAUACUGCGAGACUAGAGUAAUGGAGGGGGAACCGGAAGUCGCGGUGUAGCAGUGAAAUGCGUAGAUAUCGAGAGGAACACCAGUGGCGAAGGCGGUCUGCUGGACAGCAACUGACGCUGAGGCGCGAAAGCGUGGGGAGCAAACAGGAUUAGAUACCCCAGUAGUC
rnacentral:rRNA from 1 species